rnacentral:rRNA from 1 species
CCUACGGGAGGCUGCAGUGAGGAAUAUUGGUCAAUGGGCGUGAGCCUGAACCAGCCAAGUCGCGUGAGGGAUGACGGUCCUAUGGAUCGUAAACCUCUUUUAUAAGGGAAUAAAGUGUGGGACGUGUCCUAUUUUGUAUGUACCUUAUGAAUAAGGAUCGGCUAACUCCGUGCCAGCAGCCGCGGUAAUACGGAGGAUCCGAGCGUUAUCCGGAUUUAUUGGGUUUAAAGGGUGCGUAGGUGGCCUGUUAAGUCAGCUGUGAAAGUCUGUGGCUCAACCAUAGAAUUGCCGUUGAAACUGGCGGGCUUGAGUAUGUUUGAGGCAGGCGGAAUGCGUGGUGUAGCGGUGAAAUGCUUAGAUAUCACGCAGAACUCCGAUUGCGAAGGCAGCCUGCCAAGCCAUGACUGACGCUGAUGCACGAAAGCGUGGGUAUCAAACAGGAUUAGAUACCCGUGUAGUC